rnacentral:rRNA from 1 species
CCUACGGGUGGCAGCAGUGAGGAAUAUUGGUCAAUGGGAGAGAUCCUGAACCAGCCAAGCCGCGUGAGGGAAGACGGCCCUAUGGGUUGUAAACCUCUUUUGUCGGAGAACAAAACCCGGGACGUGUCCCGGACUGCGCGUAUCCGAAGAAAAAGCAUCGGCUAACUCCUUGCCAGCAGCCGCGGUAAUAGGGGGGAUGCGAGCGUUAUCCGGAUUUCUUGGGUUAAAAGGGUGCGUAGGCGGUCCGUUAAGUCAGCGGUAAAAUGGCGGGGCUAAACCCCGUCGAGCGGUUGAAACUGGGUGACUUGAGUGGGCGAGAGGUACGCGGAAUGCGCGGUGUAGCGGUGAAAUGCGUAGAUAUCGCGAAGAACUCCGAUUGCGAAGGCAGCGUACCGGCGCCAGACUGACGCUGAGGCACGAAAGCGUGGGGAUCGAACAGGAUUAGAUACCCGUGUAGUC